ACAGUGGACGCGAGCAUCUGUGGCCAAGUUUUUAAGGGCGCACGGUGGAUGCCUUGGCACCAGGAACCGAUGAAGGACGUGGGAGGCCGCGAUAGGCCCCGGGGAGCUGUCAACCGAGCUGUGAUCCGGGGGUGUCCGAAUGGGGAAACCCGGCAGUCGUCAUGGGCUGUCACCCAUACCUGAACACAUAGGGUAUGUGGAGGGAACGCGGGGAAGUGAAACAUCUCAGUACCCGCAGGAAGAGAAAACAACCGUGAUUCCGGGAGUAGUGGUGAGCGAAACCGGAUGAGGCCAAACCAGUCACGUGUGAUACCCGGCAGGGGUUGCGUGGUUGGGGUUGUGGGAGUUCUCUUGAUCGGUCUGCCGGCCGGUCGGUGAGUCAGAAACCGUUGAUGUAGGCGAAGGACAUGCGAAAGGUCCGGCGUAGAGGGUAAGACCCCCGUAGCUGAAACAUUGACGGCUCGCUUGAGAAUCACCCAAGUAGCACGGGGCCCGUGAAAUCCCGUGUGAAUCUGGCGGGACCACCCGCUAAGCCUAAAUAUUCCCUGGUGACCGAUAGCGGAUAGUACCGUGAGGGAAUGGUGAAAAGUACCGCGGGAGCGGAGUGAAAUAGUACCUGAAACCGUGUGCCUACAAGCCGUGGGAGCGUCGC
rnacentral:rRNA from 1 species